AUUGAACGCUGGCGGCAGGCCUAACACAUGCAAGUCGAACGAGUGGCGGACGGGUGUGUAAUGUCUGGGACACUGCCUGAUGGAGGGGGAUAACUACUGGAAACGGUAGCUAAUACCGCAUCCCAUCAGAUGUUCCCAGAUGGGAUUGGCUAGUAGGUGGGGUAACGGCUCACCUAGGCGACGAUCCCUAGCUUGUCUGAGAGGAUGACCAGCCACACUGGAACUGAGACACGGUCCAGACUCCGACGGGAGGCAGCAGUGGGGAAUAUUGCACAAUGGGCACAAGCCUGAUGCAGCCAUGCCGCGUGUAUGAAGAAGGCCUUCGGGUUGUAAAGUACUUUCAGCGGGGAGGCGUUACCCGAAGAAGAAGCACCGGCUAACUCCGUGCCAGCAGCCGCGGUAAUUC
rnacentral:rRNA from 1 species